GUCCACGCCCUAAACGAUGUCGACUGGUUGUUGGGGGUUUGACACUCUCAGUAACGAAGCUAACGCGUGAAGUCGACCGCCUGGGGAGUACGGCCGCAAGGUUAAAACUCAAAGGAAUUGACGGGGACCCGCACAAGCGGUGGAUUAUGUGGAUUAAUUCGAUGCAACGCGAAAACCUUACCUACCCUUGACAUGUCCGAGAGGCCGAAGAGAUUCGGCUGUGCCCGAAAGGGAAUCGGAACACAGGUGCUGCAUGGCUGUCGU
rnacentral:rRNA from 1 species